ensembl:lncRNA
AGCAACGGAGAGUUUACCUCAGACUUUAUUGGACUGAUGGGUGCUGACUGAACUGCGCAGGCCAUAACAGACAGACUUGUGAGACUUUUCCAGGACACAGGCUUGGAUGACUGGACAACAAAAUUGGCCGCUGUGUGCACAGACGGGGCUGCUGUCAACAUCGCCUCUCCCAGUCAAGACAUUUGAUGGGCUGGUAACCUGCCCAGGUUAUGCACGAGCAGAGGACAAGGCUCUUUAUGUGCUCUCAUCGCUUGCUGUCACAGAUGAGAAGCAGCAGACUGAGGCAGCCACAGUUGGGCAAGUCUGCAUAUCGUAAGAAACAGAUCACAGCAAGCAACUUUUUGAUAUGGUCUUACCCUCCUUCCUUAUUUAAAACUCUGUUAGGCCAGUACAACCUCAAAGAAGGAUCUAAAGUAGGGCUGGGCGAUAUAUCUAACGAUAUAAUCAUGCGCAUCUAGUCAGUAAAGCCGGUUCCCUGAUUAGCGCUAAAUCGCCAUCACCUGCUUUCAAAUGGAGCGGCAUUUAAUAGACAGAGCCGUAGAUCACUGACAAGCAAUACCGGGUUCAUUAUCGCAGAUGUAUCACCUUCGAUAAUCAACCCGAUAUUGCGUAGCUUGUCAGUGAUCUACGGCUCCGUCUAUUAAAUGCCGCUCCAUUUGAAAGCAGGUGAUGGCGAUUUAGCGCUAAUCAGGGAACCGGCUUUACUGACUAGAUGCACUUGAUUAUAUCGUUAGAUAUAUCGCCCAGCCCUAAUCUAAAGUAAAUUGAUGGUAAAAAGUGGUUAUUUAAACAUCUGUGUUAAACAUCUGCAUUUGUGUUUCUUAAGCCCGGGACACACAUAGCUGACUCAUCAGACAAAGUUUUUGAGUUCCAGUCGACUUUAGUUUGUUAGACAAAUAUAUCUUCAGAUAUUGACUCUCCUUCCCUUACGAAAAUUAACCAUGGUUUAAUUAUAGUAAAACUGUAGUAACCAUGGUUUUUUGGCGUGUUGACUACCAUUUGUAUAACCACAGAUUUACUACAAAUACCAUGGUUAAACUAUGGUUAAUAUAGCAAAACCAUGGUUAAUUUGUGGUUACCAUGGUUUAACUAUAGUAACCAUGGUUUUUUGGUUUUAUUUGUAGUAAAACCAUGGUUAAUUUUCGUAAGGGUUGACACGCAGGUGCAGAAUCCACAUGCUAGUUAACAGUCAUCUGUAGUCCUUUUGGUGUGUUCACCCAUACCAUUUUUUCCCCAAUGCAAGCAACGCGAGGUGAUAAUACAGUUGGAGGAGGUGACUGGUUCCCUGUCACUAAAACAAACUCAUGAUUACUUGCAUCAAAUCCAGGGCAACCUAUACUUGAUCGACACUAAGAGAUGUGACUUAAUUGUGUGGAGUCCUCUUGAACUUGUCAUCAUACCAGUGCUCAAAGACCCAAAAUGGGCUGUUGACAUUUUGGAAACAUUUUAUGAAGAUUG